GGCGGCCCGAGUGGUGGCCACUAUUAUUGGGUCUAAAGGGUCCGUAGCCGGUUUGGUCAGUCUUCCGGGAAAUCUGACGGCUUAACCGUUAGGCUUUCGGGGGAUACUACCAGGCUUGGGACCGGGAGAGGUAAGAGGUACUACGGGGGUAGGAGUGAAAUCUUGUAAUCCCCGUGGGACCACCAGUGGCGAAGGCGUCUUACCAGAACGGGUCCGACGGUGAGGGACGAAAGCUGGGGGCACGAACC
rnacentral:rRNA from 1 species